UACAGAGGGUGCAAACGUUGCUCGGAGUUACUGGGCGUAAAGCGCGCGCAGGCGGUCUCGUAAGUCGGGUGUGAAAGCCCCGGGCUCAACCCGGGAAGUGCACUCGAUACUGCGAGACUUGAGUCCGGGAGAGGGGAGCGGAAUUGUCGGUGUAGAGGUGAAAUUCGUAGAUAUCGGGAGGAACACCAGCGGCGAAGGCGGCUCUCUGGACAGAUACUGACGCUGAGGCGCGAAAGCGUGGGAAGUAAACAGG
rnacentral:rRNA from 1 species